rnacentral:rRNA from 1 species
GAUGAACGCUAGCGGCAGGCUUAACACAUGCAAGUCGAGGGGCAGCACGGGUAGCAAUACCUGGUGGCGACCGGCGCAAGGGUGCGUAACGCGUGAGCAACAUGCCCUAUACAGGGGGAUAAUCCAGGGAAACUUGGUCUAAUAUCCCAUAGCAUUUAGAGGAGGCAUCUUCACUAAAUUAAAGCUUCGGUGGUAUAGGAUUGGCUCGCGUGACAUUAGCUAGAUGGUGAGGUAACGGCCCACCAUGGCUAUGAUGUCUAGGGGUUCUGAGAGGAAGACCCCCACACUGGGACUGAAACACGGCCCAGACUCCUACGGGAGGCAGCAGUGAGGAAUAUUGGACAAUGGAUGGAAAUCUGAUCCAGCCAUGCCGCGUGCAGGAAGACGGCCCUAUGGGUUGUAAACUGCUUUUAUAUGGGAGCAAUAAGGUUUACGAGUAGACCGAUGAGAGUACCAUAUGAAUAAGCAUCGGCUAACUCCG